rnacentral:rRNA from 1 species
UACGGAGGGGGCUAGCGUUGUUCGGAAUUACUGGGCGUAAAGCGCACGUAGGCGGCUUUGUAAGUUAGAUGUGAAAGUCCUGGGCUUAACCUGGGGACUGCAUUUGAUACUGGGUUGCUUGAAUUCGGGAGAGGAUAGCGGAAUUCCCAGUGUAGAGGUGAAAUUCGUAGAUAUUGGGAAGAACACCGGUGGCGAAGGCGGCUAUCUGGACCGACAUUGACGCUGAGGCGCGAAAGCGUGGGGAGCAAACAGG